rnacentral:rRNA from 1 species
UACGGAGGGAGCUAGCGUUAUUCGGAAUUACUGGGCGUAAAGCGCACGUAGGCGGCUUUGUAAGUUAGAGGUGAAAGCCUGGAGCUCAACUCCAGAAUUGCCUUUAAGACUGCAUCGCUUGAAUCCAGGAGAGGUGAGUGGAAUUCCGAGUGUAGAGGUGAAAUUCGUAGAUAUUCGGAAGAACACCAGUGGCGAAGGCGGCUCACUGGACUGGUAUUGACGCUGAGGUGGCGAAAGCGUGGGGAGCAACAGG